rnacentral:rRNA from 1 species
AUUGAACGCUGGCGGCAGGCCUAACACAUGCAAGUCGAGCGAGCGGCGGACGGGUGAGUAAUGUAUGGGGACUGCCCGAUAGAGGGGUAUAACUACUGGCAACGGUGGCUAAUACCGCAUACUAUCGGAUAACCCAUAUUGGAUGAGCUAGUCGGUGGGGUAAAGGCGCACCUAGGCGACGAUCUCUAGCUGGUCUGAGAGGAUGAUCAGCCACAAUGGGAAUGAGACACGGCCCAGACUCCUACGGAGGCAGCAGUGGGGAAUAUUGCACAAUGGGCGCAAGCCUGAUGCAGCCAUGCCGCGUGUAUGAAGAAGGCCUUAGGGUUGUAAAGUACUUUCAGCGGGGAGGCGUUACCCGCAGAAGAAGCACCGGCUAACUCCGUGCCAGCAGCCGCGGUAAUAC